rnacentral:sRNA from 1 species
UGGACAGUGAUGUGGAAGUGACAAAUAAAAACAACAACAGCAGCAGCAGCAACAACAACAACAACAACUCAUUCCUCCCCUAGUAGUUUUUAGUCAAUCAAGGUGUUUUAUCACCGCAAUAGAAAUCCUAACUGCGUCAUGAUUUAAUAAUAAACUGGCCACAUGGCACUCGGAGGAUUAGUUGUGAGAAGCAAACGAGAUGUUGAGUGGAAGGCGGCAUGUGGGAAGAGAUUACUUUCUUUGCAAUGGAGAUAUUAGAAAGCAGCAGAACUUGGCAGCUUUGGCCGAGUUUUUCUGGCGUUAGUCAAGGAGAGAAGGAAGAGGUUGUGGAAUCUCCCUCUGUGACUCAGGAAAGCUGCCGAGGCCAGGCAUGCAUUAGAGCUGUAUGGAAGCCUGAAGUAGCCGUUGCAUGAAUCGGUGAAGGCGAGGCCUGGAUUACCUUGGAGACCCUCAGAUGUUGGAGAUGCCACGGGAUACCUGCUGCCAGAGAACUACUUGCUGGGGCUUGCUGUUCAGGACGCCAGCUGCCAUGUUGGAAGAUGCUCUUUGGUGAGACCACGUGGUAACAGAGAGGUUUCUUUCCAACAGCCAAGGAAGAAUGAAGGGACUCAAUACAUUAACUCACAAUCUUGCUAACAUGGUGGAAGUCACCAUCCUUUUGCUGGACCUUCAAACAACCUCACAGGCUCAGUGGAUCUCUGACUGGAACUGCAUGAGAGCUCUUAAACCAGUGGCACUCAGCCAAGUAGCACCCAGAUUCCCAAAACCCAGAAACCAAGGGGACAAUGGAUGCUGCUUAGAGCUGACAAAAAGGUCCUUGAGAGUCGGGGAAAGAGGAUGACGGCAAACUGGUGCACCCGACUGCCUGCGUCACCACCGGAUAUGCACAGCAACACUUUUCACAAACCAGAGCACAGAUGUAGUCCCUUCCCCAAAGUCACACAGCUGAACCGGGAUCUAUCUGCAGGUGGUGCAUGUCCUUUGAUUGGACUACUUGUCACGGAGGCAGAGGAACAUUGAUUAUGCGUAGCUUAUUUUAAAACAGCGGUUUAUCAAUGUGUACACUUAUUCUUCCAGAGGCUUUGAAAAAUCACAGUAAGUUCUGGUAGGCCUUCCUCACCCACGAGUGUAACACUCAUUCAGUCCUGGUGGUCACUGGGGCAUUAUUACUCUAAUGCCUGCAGGGAGGCCUUACCAGGCAAUCUUUGCUGCCUGCGUCCCCCAACACCUUUCUGAAGGCAGGUAUGUCUCUGGUCAUCCUUUAUAUGACAAACUGACCUAGACAGAUUGAGUGUUCUUUGCUGUGGGUCUCUUGCCCAUCAACUGACAGAACCAGGACUCCAUUCAGAGUUUACAAUCUCUGCUCCUAGAGCCUCCCACUCCUUCAGCCCCAUCCUGUGUGGACCAGUAGAGAUACAGACUCUCCGUCACACCCUCCAGCCGCCCAGGUUGAAGCAAUCCGUCAUGCCUUUUAAGUCCUCCAGCUAGUGAGCCUUUUCACCCAACACAGCUCGCUUGGUGUCAUCGCACAGAGAACCAUCAGCAACCAGGUCCCUUCAAAGAGACAAAGCUGAGACGGUACACACAUUGCACUUCGAGUCUCAAGACCUAGUCUCGAUAAUUUCUUAGAGGACACCUCAUCAACUAAGAUGACAGUAAGAGACUGUCAGUGUCCUUGAACAAUUGCUGAAGUGAUGCUAGAAAUACAUUUGCCUGUAAUCUAGGGAUUUGGGGUAAGUAGAUGCUAAUUUACCCUUCCUAUGACAGAAACUCAUGAUAGAGACAUGUUCAGCUUUUGACAGCUAAGUAGUGGGAUUGCUAAACCAGUGGAUCUUCGGAGUGUUGGUGCUAUCUUAACAUUGACCCUAGGACAUCAUCUCAUGUCUUUAUUUCCAAGGACACGCCCUCCAAGUGCCUCCAAGGCAGCAAGUCUGACAAGCAGGGUCAGUUUCCUAGGUGACAAAUGGGUGACUGGAGGUAGAGAACUGAGGCUCAGGAAACAGGCUGGCCUGCACACUACCUGUGCAUUCCCACCUAAAUCUGGGCAUGUGUGCAUGCAAAAGCCUGGGUGUGGUCUCUGCAUACCACCCAAAUUCGUUCACUCAGUCAACAGGUAUGUACCAAGCACCUACUAAACGCCAGCCAGAGGGCUGGUAGGCCUGCAGAGGAGUGAGACAGACUGAGCUAGCUCAUGGAGAUUCUCUUUGCCAAGAAGCUGCUGACUCCCAGGUAACGCGCAGAGAUGACCAUCGUAUACAUACUUAUUAUGUUUAUUUUUACUCCCAAACUUAGAUCGAAGGUAAACCCCAGACUUGUUCAUGUUUAUAUUUUCAGCCAAAAAUAAUUUUUUAUAUGUUGAUUGAGGGCUCCCCAACAAAGCUGCUAACUAGUAUCUGGGUCUCAUGGGUGUUAGCGGGGCCUAGUAUGUGGAUCUCAUGGGUGUGUUAGUGGGGCCUGGUGUGUGGGUCUCAUGGGUGUUAGUGGGGCCUGGUGUGUGGGUCUCAUGGGUGUGUUAGCGGGGCCUGGUGUGUGGGUCUCAUGGGUGUGUUAGUGGGGCCUGGUGUGUGGGUCUCAUGGGUGUGUUAGUGGGGCCUGGUGUGUGGGUCUCAUGGGUGUUAGUGGGGCCUGGUGUGUGGAUCUCAGACUGAAGUUAAGGCAGCACAGUAAGAGGUGAGGAACACCAUAGCUGUUCCCCUUUGGAAAGGGCUGGCUUCCAUACAGAGCUUCGGCUCUUCCGCCCCCUUCCAGAAAGCAGGCUGCAGGAAGCAGAAGGAAGGCAUGCACACCCCACUUCUAAGAAAACUGUCUUGGCUGCACAGAGAGAGGCACCCACUUUCCUUUCUGCCCCGGCAGGACCCAGGCUGCAGGGGACACUGCCCUUCCUAAGGCUGCAGUGAGCUGCAGGGCAGACAUCCCAUCUGCUAGAGAAAACAAAAGAGCACUGUAGACCUUCCUUUUUAUUUUCUUUGUUUCCCCAAUCCACAUUCACAAACCCACUUUUCCUACUCAAAGGAAGGAGUCAA